rnacentral:rRNA from 3 species
GUGACUGCGUACCUUUUGUAUAAUGGGUCAGCGACUUAUAUUCUGUAGCAAGGUUAACCGAAUAGGGGAGCCGGAGGGAAACCGAGUCUUAACUGGGCGUUAAGUUGCAGGGUAUAGACCCGAAACCCGGUGAUCUAGCCAUGGGCAGGUUGAAGGUUGGGUAACACUAACUGGAGGACCGAACCGACUAAUGUUGAAAAAUUAGCGGAUGACCUGUGGCUGGGGGUGAAAGGCCAAUCAAACCGGGAGAUAGCUGGUUCUCCCCGAAAGCUAUUUAGGUAGCGCCUCGUGAAUUCAUCUCCGGGGGUAGAGCACUGUUUCGGCUAGGGGGCCAUCCCGGCUUACCAACCCGAUGCAAACUGCGAAUACCGGAGAAUGUUAUCACGGGAGACACACGGCGGGUGCUAACGUCCGUCGUGAAGAGGGAAACAACCCAGACCGCCAGCUAAGGUCCCAAAGUCAUGGUUAAGUGGGAAACGAUGUGGGAAGGCCCAGACAGCCAGGAUGUUGGCUUAGAAGCAGCCAUCAUUUAAAGAAAGCGUAAUAGCUCACUGGUCGAGUCGGCCUGCGCGGAAGAUGUAACGGGGCUAAACCAUGCACCGAAGCUGCGGCAGCGA